GACGAACGCUGGCGGCGUGCUUAACACAUGCAAGUCGAGCGGUAAGGCCCUUCGGGGUACACGAGCGGCGAACGGGUGAGUAACACGUGGGUGAUCUGCCUUGCACUCUGGGAUAAGCCUGGGAAACUGGGUCUAAUACCGGAUAUGACCUCCAGUUGCAUGACUGGGGGUGGAAAGAUUUAUCGGUGCAAGAUGAGCCCGCGGCCUAUCAGCUUGUUGGUGGGGUAAUGGCCUACCAAGGCGACGACGGGUAGCCGGCCUGAGAGGGCGACCGGCCACACUGGGACUGAGACACGGCCCAGACUCCUACGGGAGGCAGCAGUGGGGAAUAUUGCACAAUGGGCGGAAGCCUGAUGCAGCGACGCCGCGUGAGGGAUGACGGCCUUCGGGUUGUAAACCUCUUUCGACUCCGACGAAGCGAAAGUGACGGUAGGAGUAUAAGAAGCACCGGCCAACUACGUG
rnacentral:rRNA from 1 species